rnacentral:rRNA from 1 species
GGAGGAGGCAAGCGUUGUUCGGAAUUACUGGGCUUAAAGCGUGCGUAGGCGGGAUGGCAGGUGUCGUGUGAAAGCCCUCGGCUCAACCGAGGAAUUGCUCGGCAAACCGUCAUUCUUGAGGCCAGCAGGGGGACCUGGAACUUUGGGUGGAGCGGUGAAAUGCGUAGAUAUCCAAGGGAACGCCGGUGGCGAAAGCGGGGUCCUGGGCUGGUUCUGACGCUGAGGCACGAAAGCGUGGGUAGCAAACAGGAUUAGAUACCCUGGUAGUCCACGCUGUAAACGAUGCGCACUAGGUAUCAGCGCCUCUGACGGGGUUGGUGCCGCAGCGAAAGCAUUAAGUGCGCCGCCUGGGAGUACGGCCGCAAGGCUA